GUGUGCGAUUUUAAACAGAAACUUUCUCACUAUUCUCUAUAUUCUCAGAAAAAUAAAUUUAAAAUUACAUUUGAAAAUGUUGCAUUUUGUUUGCAUUUAUUAGUACUAAUUCAAUUUAUUAAUUCGGACAGUAUUCUUUCAAACCGAUAGGAUGUUGUGAGCAUAAAGUUUAACAAUAUUUUUUACAGAAACAACUUUUUCGCAUCCUCACAUCAGGCUCUAAUAAUUACGAAAUAGAUGUUAUCAAUAAUAUAGAAAACAUAAUAAAUAAAGACAUACAGUUGCUAUAUAGAGCCACUGACCAGGUUAUGAAGGGCACAGAGGAAGAAGUUUUCUUGAAACGAAAACAUGAAUGUAUAAAUGGGUUUUUUGAAAUCAAACUGUAUGGAUAAGCCAUUAAAUACAUUAGGAGCUACCUGCCAUUAGUUAUCGGGUGCAGGCGACAGAGAGACGGUAGGCUGCAGCGACGCAUUGAAAAGCCUAAUGUGACCUAAUAUACUUUAAUUUACUUAUGUACACCCAUUUUAAAGAAUACAAGGAUAUGAAGAAAACGCUAUCUGAUUCAUUAUCAACAUGAAUGUCUGUGAAAUUAAAUUCAUUAUCUUAUUUAUCACAUGUGUAGCGUACGUUCUGGGUAAUUAUUUUUUUAGUUUGCAUGUCAUCAAAUAUUAAUAAAAUAUAUGAUUUUUAA